AUUGAACGCUGGCGGCAGGCCUAACACAUGCAAGUCGAACGGUAACAGGAAACAGCUUGCUGUUUCGCUGACGAGUGGCGGACGGGUGAGUAAUGUCUGGGAAACUGCCUGAUGGAGGGGGAUAACUACUGGAAACGGUAGCUAAUACCGCAUAACGUCGCAAGACCAAAGAGGGGGACCCUCGGGCCUCUUGCCAUCGGAUGUGCCCAGAUGGGAUUAGCUUGUUGGUGGGGUAACGGCUCACCAAGGCGACGAUCCCUAGCUGGUCUGAGAGGAUGACCAACCACACUGGAACUGAGACACGGUCCAGACUCCUACGGGAGGCAGCAGUGGGGAAUAUUGCACAAUGGGCGCAAGCCUGAUGCAGCCAUGCCGCGUGUAUGAAGAAGGCCUUCGGGUUGUAAAGUACUUUCAGCGGGGAGGAAGGGAGUAAAGUUAAUACCUUUGCUCAUUGACGUUACCCGCAGAAGAAGCACCGGCUAACUCCGUG
rnacentral:rRNA from 1 species